UUUUUUUAUGUGAAAAGCCAAUGAUAAGAAUUUGAUUGACAAUGAAUAUGGUUUUUAGAAAGGGUUGAAUAUUGUCUUAGUUUAUACUUGAUUCUUGUGUUAGUUCCUCUUGAUUGAGAUUCUUUAAACCAUGAGCACUAAUAUCAGUUCUUUCAUAAUUUUGACUUGAAAUUUGAGAUUGACGCAGCCUGAGUUGAGAAUUUUAGAUAGAGUAAAUGACUGUUUGUCUUGAUUCUUAUCUCCACAAUACAAAAUAGUAUACACGGGCGCCAAAGUCAGAAAUAGCUACCUAUAACCCUUAAGAGUGAAGCUAUCCUUGAGUAAUUUGGGCCUAUGUACCACAAGUAUGUAGAGGAUAAUCUACCAUGAGAAGAAGGCUACCUUAAGGGGUAGAGUGAAAGCUCCUGACUAUGGUUGAAAAAAAAAAAAAAGAAAAAAAAAAUCAAGUGCAUGUGCUAAAAAAAAAAAAAAAA
rnacentral:lncRNA from 1 species